rnacentral:rRNA from 1 species
GAUGAACGCUGGCGGCGUGCCUAAUACAUGCAAGUCGAGCGAACAGACGAGGAGCUUGCUCCUCUGACGUUAGCGGCGGACGGGUGAGUAACACGUGGAUAACCUACCUAUAAGACUGGGAUAACUUCGGGAAACCGGAGCUAAUACCGGAUAAUAUAUUGAACCGCAUGGUUCAAUAGUGAAAGACGGUUUUGCUGUCACUUAUAGAUGGAUCCGCGCCGCAUUAGCUAGUUGGUAAGGUAACGGCUUACCAAGGCGACGAUGCGUAGCCGACCUGAGAGGGGGAUCGGCCACACUGGAACUGAGACACGGUCCAGACUCCUACGGGAGGCAGCAGUAGGGAAUCUUCCGCAGAGGGCGAAAGCCUGACGGAGCAACGCCGCGUGAGUGAUGAAGGUCUUCGGAUCGUAAAACUCUGUUAUUAGGGAAGAACAAAUGUGUAAGUAACUAUGCACGUCUUGACGGUACCUAAUCAGAAAGCCACGGCUAACUACGUG